rnacentral:rRNA from 1 species
UGAGGAAUUUUCCGCAAUGGUCGCAAGACUGACGGAGCAACGCCGCGUGCAGGAGGACGCUUUUCGGAGUGUAAACUGCUUUUCUGUGGGACGAGGAUGGACGGUACCACAGGAAGAAGCCCCGGCUAACUACGUGCCAGCAGCCGCGGUAAUACGUAGGGGGCGAGCGUUGUCCGGAGUUACUGGGCGUAAAGGGCACGCAGGCGGUGCGGCGCGUUUCGCGUGACAGCGGAGGGCUUACCUCUCCGAGGAUGCGAAAGACGGCGGCACUUGAGGGCCAGAGAGGGACACGGAAUUCCGGGUGGAGUGGUGAAAUGCGUAGAGAUCCGGAGGAACACCGAAGGCGAAGGCAGUGUCCUGGCUGGUGACUGACGCUGAGGUGCGAAAGCUAGGGGAGCGAACGGGAUUAGAUACCCCGGUAGUCCUAGCCGUAAACGAUGACCACCAGGUGUGGGAGGUAUCGACCCCUUCCGUGCCGGAGUUAACACACUAAGUGGUCCGCCUGGGGAGUACGGUCGCAAGAUUAA